GGAUCAUUUUGUCUUGUUGGUGGAUCGAUUGAUAACGGAAUCUACAUUAGAAGCUGCAAUUGAGAGCAGAAACCGAUUGAUGCAGGCAACAGCAUCNNGGCAACAGCAUCAGCAAUUGAUGAAACAAAAAUUGUUAUAUCUUCCCAGAAAGUGGAUUUUGGAGAUGUGUCGACUCCAAGGAAAAUGGUGGAAUGCAGGAUAUGCCAGGAUGAGGAUGAAGAUUCCAACAUGGAAACGCCUUGCUCUUGUUGCGGUAGCCUGAAGUACGCUCACCGCAGAUGUGUUCAAAGGUGGUGUAAUGAGAAGGGUAACACCAUAUGUGAGAUAUGCCAUCAGCAAUUCACACCUGGUUAUACAGCUCCGCCGCCCNNNNNNNNNUAUUCCAGUGAACCUCAGGAGAAACUGGGAGACUUCUGGAAGAGACUUUCAUGGUCCCCGCUUUAUAGCAAUGGUGUCAACUGACCGUAAUUUCCUUAAUCCUGACCAUGAAGAGUAUUCAGCUUCGUCAAGAAACUCAAUCUGCUUUCGCUCAGUUGCUGUUGCUUUUAUGAUUCUUUGAUUCUGCGGCAUACUCUCCCAGUCANUGAAAUUUCCUUCCCAUUGCUCAUGUUGUUAUUUCUACGAAUUGCUGGGAUUGUUCUUCCAGUAUAUGUUAUCGUGAAAGCAGUAACCGCACUCCAACAUCGCCGCCAUCAAGAGGAGUCUCCAAACGUGUCUUUUGCUGCAGAAGCUGAGCUUUCAAGUGAGCAGGCUCAGCAGCAUAUAAACAAUGUUCCUUAGUUUGUUUGUGUGCAAAAUGGAAGUAAUUUCACAAUAAAACAUUGGCAUCAGCUAGCGAGCAGCAGCAGCAGCAUCUGCCAAUUGUUAAGUUGGUCAUGUGUUUCAAGGUAUAUGAAGAUGGCUUCAUUGUCAGACGUCAGAAGAAAGACUGAAAAGUAAAACUNNUCUAGGGUGAUUCUCUCAGCAGCCACAGUUUAACUGGAUUCUGGUUUCUGAAAGAAUGUUAUAGCUUAUCAAACAGCUGAGAUAGAGGCAGCAGUUACCCUGGAAAUAUUUAGAAAGCAAUUGUCAACUAACUAUGAUUCAAGUUAUUGAAUGUGCAUUUUCUAUAUUGGUUAUCAUCUAAGAAGUUUGUACAGGAAAAUAUGCCAUUGUAUAUGCAGACAUUUUUAACCGUGUCCAUGUUGAUAACCAUCUGCAGUAGCAAGGAUUUGGAAAUUAUUGGAACGCU
rnacentral:misc_RNA from 1 species